GCCCGGGUGGCGUAACUGGCAGGCGCAGAGGGCUUAAACCCCUCGGGAGCUCACGCUCCGUGAGAGUUCGAAUCUCUCCCCGGGCA
rnacentral:tRNA from 1 species